rnacentral:rRNA from 1 species
UGGGAAUUUUGGACAAUGGGCGAAAGCCUGAUCCAGCAACGCCGCGUGCGGGAUGACGGCCUUCGGGUUGUAAACCGCUUUCAGCAGGGACGAAGGUUUUCUGACGGUACCUGCAGAAGAAGCACCGGCUAACUACGUGCCAGCAGCCGCUGUGAUACGUAGGGUGCGAGCGUUGUCCGGAAUUAUUGGGCGUAAAGAGCUUGUAGGCGGUCCGUUGCGUCGGAAGUGAAAACUCAGGGCUUAACCCUGAGCCUGCUUUCGAUACGGGCGGACUUGAGGGAUGUAGGGAGAACGGAAUUCCUGGUGGAGCGGUGGAAUGCGCAGAUAUCAGGAGGAACACCAGUGGCGAAGGCGGUUCUCUGGACAUUUCCUGACGCUGAGAAGCGAAAGCGUGGGGAGCAAACAGGCUUAGAUACCCUGGUAGUCCACGCCGUAAACGGUGGGCACUAGGUGUGGGACCCAUUCCACGGGUUCCGUGCCGUAGCUAACGCAUUAAGUGCCCCGCCUGGGG